GCGGAAAUAGCUCAAUGGUAGAGUAUUGCGUUGCCAACGCAAAGGUUGAGGGUUCAAAUCCCUUUUUCCGCU
rnacentral:tRNA from 1 species